AACUUGAUUUUCUUUACUAUACACUCUUUACCAUGCACUGGCACAUGUAUUCUAAUUUACCCAAGUGGGGGCACCUGAACAUAUGACAGGUUGUCCCCUCAAGGCCUAACGUUUUCUUUAUUUUCAAUUUCGCAGUUGUAUCUUCAUCUUUUUUCCAAUGGCUACCAACAACUUAUCAGAAAAUGCUAUUCAGCUUAAUGAAGUAACUGUAGCCAUGAUUCCCUGGCCUGAACACGGCCAUGUCAACCCACUAUUUCUCCUUUCUCGCUUCAUCGCUUCCCAUAACAUUCCUGUACACUUCCUCUCUCUCACUGCCCGGAACCAUGACUUAAAGAAACGCCUUCAAGAUGCUCAACAAGAUGAAAAUUUACAUUUCUGUGACCUCUCAGUACCUACUUCUGAGAGUAAUAAAGAGGUGUUGUUGGAAAAGCUAGGGAAGUCAAUUUGUGAAAAAUGCAAUAUACUCUCCAAAAAUACGAAAAGAUUGGUCAUCAUUCAUGAUUGUUUGAUGAUAACUUACAUAGGGGAUUUGCAUUCAAUCACCAACGUCAAAUGUUAUUCUUUCCACUCCAUUUCAUCUUUCGUUAGGUAUUCUACUCUCCGACAAGUUAUUCAUAUUGUUGAUGAAGAUCAGGACAAAUUAAUUCAGCAAUUAGGCGAUGAGUUUCCAACAGUGGAGAGCACUUUUGGGCCACAUUUGGAGGAGUAUAUGAGAGAAGAACGCAAAUGGAAGCUAAAUUCCGGAGUUAUAAUGAACUCCAUGAGAGAACUAGAAGGCAAGUAUCUUGAUUCACUUGCCAUUUUUGAAGAGAACAAUAAGCCAUUGUGGUGUCUUGGUCCAUUUCACAUGUUGCUCGAAGCAUCACUUGAUAAAUGUAGUAGGAGUACUCAACAUGUGUGCCUAAAAUUUCUCGACAAGCAAGAUGGUAACUCAGUAAUAUUCGUGUCAUUUGGAACAACCACUAUGUUGUCACAAGAGCAAGUCAAUGAGCUCGCUCUCGGUUUAGAACAGAGUAAUCAUAAAUUUAUAUGGGUAGUAAGAGAAGCGGAUGAUGAAAGAAUAUACAUGGAGAAUAAUUCUGAGGAGAAAGAUGGGAAGAUUGUAUUGCCAGAAGGGUUUGAAGAAAGAGUGGAAGGACGAGGAAUGGUGGUGAGAAAUUGGGCGCCCCAAUUAGAAAUCUUGGGACAUCCAUCUACAGGCGGGUUUAUGAGUCAUUGUGGAUGGAAUUCUUGUAUGGAAAGCAUUAGCAUGGGGGUUCCUACAGCAACUUGGCCAAUUCAUGUGGACCAACCUUACAACACAGUGUUCAUAAUGAACGUGUUGAAGAUUGGAAUCUCUGUGUGGAAUUGGACUCGUAGGGAGGAAACAGUACCAGCAACAGCAAUUGAGAAAGCUGUCAAGACAUUGAUGGGUAUGCCAGAAGGAGAAGAGAUGAGGCAGAGGGCAAUAGAGUUGAGAAAUAAAAUCAAGAACUCUGUUAGGCAUGGAGGACUUGCGCGCAAGGAAAUGGAAUCUUUCAUCUCUAAUAUUACCAAGAACUAAUUUCCAUUGAGAAUCUCAAAACGCAAAAUGACAUUCUGGAUCCUGAACUAUGUCAAUUUGGUUUUGUAAAUAAAUGGAUAUAAUUGUAACAAUUCAAUUCACAUAUGGGGGUGUCUUUUUGUCAAACCCUGAUUUAAGGUGGAAAGGUGGAGCUGCAAUAACUCAAAGACAGCUACAAUAACAAAGUAGCAAAAGAUCAAAUGCAAAGUCAUCUCCAACCACUCAAGCCAUAUCAAGCACUCAAGCCAGCAAGAAUCAAUCAACAACAAGCACUCAAGCAACACAUUAGUGUAAUUCUCUUUCUGUAUUGAUCCCAAGUAUUGUUAAGAUAAUUUUUUAAGACUUCUGGUUCAUUGUUGUUAAGACAAAUAUUUUGAUGUUGUUAAGACAAGUAUUUUGAUGCCAAUUAUAUAUUGUAGAUUUUUAUGUUC